GUUGUGGCUCAGCGGUAGAGCCCAUGCCUAGCAUGUGCGAGGCCCUGAGUUCGAUUCUCAGCACAACA
rfam:Ictidomys tridecemlineatus contig051052, whole genome shotgun sequence.